rnacentral:rRNA from 1 species
AGAGUUUGAUCAUGGCUCAGGACGAACGCUGGCGGCGUGCCUAAUACAUGCAAGUAGAACGCUGACUACUUUAGCUUGCUAGAGUAGAAGGAGUUGCGAACGGGUGAGUAACGCGUAGGUAACCUGCCUACUAGCGGGGGAUAACUAUUGGAAACGAUAGCUAAUACCGCAUAACAGUGUUUAACACAUGUUAGAUGCUUGAAAGAUGCAAAUGCAUCACUAGUAGAUGGACCUGCGUUGUAUUAGCUAGUUGGUGGGGUAACGGCCUACCAAGGCGACGAUACAUAGCCGACCUGAGAGGGUGAUCGGCCACACUGGGACUGAGACACGGCCCAGACUCCUGCGGGAGGCAGCAGUAGGGAAUCUUCGGCAAUGGGGGCAACCCUGACCGAGCAACGCCGCGUGAGUGAAGAAGGUUUUCGGAUCGUAAAGCUCUGUUGUAAGAGAAGAACGUGUGUGAGAGUGGAAAGUUCACACAGUGACGGUAACUUACCAGAAAGGGACGGCUAACUACGUGCCAGCAGCCGCGGUAAUACGUAGGUCCCGAGCGUUGUCCGGAUUUAUUGGGCGUAAAGCGAGCGCAGGCGGUUUAAUAAGUCUGAAGUUAAAGGCAGUGGCUUAACCAUUGUUCGCUUUGGAAACUGUUAAACUUGAGUGCAGAAGGGGAGAGUGGAAUUCCAUGUGUAGCGGUGAAAUGCGUAGAUAUAUGGAGGAACACCGGUGGCGAAAGCGGCUCUCUGGUCUGUAACUGACGCUGAGGCUCGAAAGCGUGGGGAGCAAACAGGAUUAGAUACCCUGGU